rnacentral:piRNA from 1 species
UUUUGUGAUGACUGUGCAAAACA